ACCUUUGACUGCAAGACGUCUUCGCAAGUUUUGACGAACUCUCACCACCGGCCCCGAAAAUCAGCCAAAUUUGUCGAUAUUUAUACCUUAAUUCUAACGUCACUGACGUUUACAGUAUAAAAUAUGUCAUUAACAAAGACUGUUUACAACAAUCUCUUUAGGAGAUCCUCGACAUUUGCACUCACAAUCCUCGUGGGAGCAUUUUUCUUCGAGAGAGUCUUCGACAGGGCCACGGAUGGUUUGUUCAACAACCUAAACGUAGGGAAACAAUGGAUGGAUGUGAAAGGGCCCAUUCUAGAGAGACUAGAAGGAGAAGAAGAAGAUGAAGAUUAGACCCCAUUCAGAGCUACCCCUUUCACAUCAAUAGAGAUUUGUUUACAUACGUCAGUCGCUCACCACAUAUUCACAUGGCCUCAACCAGAAAGGUGACUGAAAUCCUCGCACAUCCACGAAGAAGAGCAGAAGAAACUGUCUAGCAAUCGUCAUGACCAGCUUGACUACAGGAAAUCUGAAAUGCAGUGCUUUGAAUUUGUCUUCAAUGGUCGUUGGAACAGUUUGUGCUUUUACUCUGCCAAGAAUUACACAUACAUGUAGGUUGACAUAGUCUUGAUGUUGAACCGAAUAUGAAACUACAGUAAAAAGAAGUCAUCCAAGUCCUCCUGCUUUCAUCUCUAAGUCAUAAGGAUUGCAUCGUAUUCCAAAGAGUUGAAACUUGACAAUGAUUAUUAUUCUUUUAAAAGAUGACUGUAGUGUAAUGUCAAGUGCUGAUAAUUUAAUCCAAUCAAGUACAUUUCCAAUACAAUAAUUUCAAGGAAACAUGUCCUGCAGUAAAUAUGUAUUGCAAAAUGAUGUGUAUCAAAGGUGCUUGUAUAUGAUGCAAUCGUGCCCGUGUAACUGCAUGCAACUUACCAGUAUGAGGCAGUGUUUUCAUAAACUGCUUACUUCAAUAUUUUCACCUCUGAAUUAAUUGAAAGUGUUAAAAAUCAAUCAUUUAUAUUUCUCUUGACAAACAAGUAAAUUCAACAACUACUGUGAUUAAUAUAGAAAAUUAUCCUAACAUUUUGACAUAACCUUAAAAUAUAGGAAUGAAAAUAUUACAUGUUGCUUUUCUAAGACCUUGUAACAUUUCUAUUACAAUUACAGGUGUAUUUCUUCGUUAUACACGUAGUCUAUGAAAGCUUCAGUUAGCAAUUUUAAUGUCUUAUGAAAUCUUUGAAAUUUUAAGAAAGGGCAUGGAAAAAUGAAAUUUUCUUGGUAUUUGGUCUGUAUGAUAUGAGAGCCAUAUUUACCUUUGUGAAAAAUGUGAUGCAAUGUAUUUAAAUGUACAUGGAGAGAAACUGACAUUAUAUUAAAAUGAUUACUGUGUUUGAAAUUUGAAAACUUUA